AGCGAACGCUGGCGGCAGGCCUAACACAUGCAAGUCGAACGAACUCUUCGGAGUUAGUGGCGGACGGGUGAGUAACACGUGGGAACGUGCCUUUUGGUUCGGAAUAACUCAGGGAAACUUGUGCUAAUACCGAAUGGGCCCUUCGGGGGAAAGAUUUAUCGCCAUUAGAGCGGCCCGCGUCUGAUUAGCUAGUUGGUGAGGUAACGGCUCACCAAGGGGACCAUCAGUAGCUGGUCUGAGAGGAUGACCAGCCACACUGGGACUGAGACACGGCCCAGACUCGUACGGGAGGCAGCAGUGGGGAAUCUUGCGCAAUGGGCGAAAGCCUGACGCAGCCAUGCCGCGUGAAUGAUGAAGGUCUUAGGAUUGUAAAAUUCUUUCACCGGGGACGAUAAUGACGGUACCCGGAGAAGAAGCCCCGGCUAACUUCGUG
rnacentral:rRNA from 1 species